rnacentral:rRNA from 1 species
GAUGAACGCUGGCGGCGUGCUUAACACAUGCAAGUCGAACGGGAAACCUUUUAUUGAAGCUUCGGCAGAUUUAGCUGGUUUCUAGUGGCGGACGGGUGAGUAACUCGUGGGUAGCCUGCCUUAUACAGGGGGAUAACAACCAGAAAUGGUUGCUAAUACCGCAUCAGCGCACAUGACCGCAUGGUCCGGUGUGAAAAACUCCGGUGGUAUAAGAUGGAGCCGCGUUGGAUUAGCUAGUUGGCAGGGUAACGGCCUACCAAGGCGACGAUCCAUAGCCGGCAUGGGAGGGUGAACGGCCACAUUGCGACUGGGACACGGACCAGACUCCUACGGGAGGAAGCAGUUGGGAAUAUUGCACGAUGGGGGAGAGCCUGAGGCAGCGACGCCGCGUGAAGGAAGAAGUAUCUCAGUAUGUAAACGUCUAUCAGCAGCGAAGAUAGUGACGGUACCUGACUAAGAAGCCCCGGCUAACUACGUG